rnacentral:lncRNA from 1 species
AAAAUGUCAAUAUACAUGGAUGUUGAUUAAUUUCCAAAUCAAAUUUCAACUAAGAACUAACUAAAUCCUAAUUAAAUUCUAAUUUAAAUCUAAACACAAAUUCAAAUUAACCUAAUUAAAUUCUAAUUAAAAAAUCCUAAUUAGUCUAAACAAAUCAAACAAUUAAAUCCACAAAUUAAUUUUUAUGCAAAAUAUAACAUCAGCAACUAAAUCAAGUUGGAGAAAUAAUUGAAAUGUUU